CAGAAGCCGAUGGUCAUCUUCUAAACAGUAUCCAAUCAAUUUCACAAGAUUCGGAUGAUAAAGCUGCCCGAGAAAGUUGAUUUCAGUCAGCCAUUCCUGGUGACCCUGGAAACUCUCUUGGUUAAGCCUCUUCACAGCAAUAACCAUGCCAGUUCCAGGCCUGGUAGGUGUCAGUGAAUGUUCAUCAAUCCAUCCUUUGUAGACACAGCCAAAUCCUCCUUCACCCAACACACUAUCCGGACGGAAGUUCCUGGUUGCUGCCUUUAGUUCACUAUAGCUAAAGCUCUUCAAAUUGGAAGACUGCAAGAUCUCACCCUCUGUCCGAGGA
rnacentral:misc_RNA from 1 species